rnacentral:rRNA from 1 species
ACGAGCGGCGAACGGGUGAGUAACACGUGAGCAACCUGCCCUUCUCAUCGGAAUAAGCGUUGGAAACGACGUCUAAUGCCGAAUACGACCUCAGAAGGCAUCUUCAGAGGUGGAAAGCUCCGGCGGAGAAGGAUGGGCUCGCGGCCUAUCAGCUUGUUGGUGGGGUAACGGCCCACCAAGGCGACGACGGGUAGCCGGCCUGAGAGGGUGACCGGCCACACUGGGACUGAGACACGGCCCAGACUCCUACGGGAGGCAGCAGUGGGGAAUAUUGGACAAUGGGCGAAAGCCUGAUCCAGCAACGCCGCGUGAGGGAUGACGGCCUUCGGGUUGUAAACCUCUUUCAGCACCGACGAAGCGAAAGUGACGGUAGGUGCAGAAGAAGGACCGGCCAACUACGUGCCAGCAGCCGCGGUAAUACGUAGGGUCCGAGCGUUGUCCGGAAUUAUUGGGCGUAAAGGGCUCGUAGGCGGUUUGUCGCGUCGGGAGUGAAAACUCAGGGCUCAACCCUGAGCGUGCUUCCGAUACGGGCAGACUAGAGGUAUGCAGGGGAGAACGGAAUUCCUGGUGUAGCGGUGGAAUGCGCAGAUAUCAGGAGG